UUAUUUAGCCUGUCAUAAUUUAAAAAAUGAGAAACAUUGAGAAAUAGUGUUUUAUUUCUUCGUAAAAGACUUAUGGAGAGUAAAUUGAACAGGGCUUUGCCACCUUGUCAUUGUGAAACUUACAGUAUGGACCAGGCAUCUUUUCUAUGCCUUGGCAAAUUGUCACAUUCCUUUCUAUAUUUGGAUAGGCUUCCUACAUUUUGUCCUGCACACUUUCAGUGCUGUGAAAUAUCUCCAAGAGUUUCUUUAAUAUGAAAUUUUUGCCAGCAUCUUCAUCCUGAGUCCCUCAAAAGACACAUCCAGAAUCUCUCAAAAGACAACAGCAUCAACUUUCCCACCAUCAGCUCUUUCUUCUCUAAACUCGUUUACGUCUGAGUCAACUUUCACCUCCUGCAUUCUCACUUUUUGUUUCUUUGCUAUACUUUCAUCUUCGUUGGCUACCCACCUCUCUUGAGUAUUCAUUUCUGUGAAAUGUCACGUGGGUUUGUCACUGGGAGCCAAGGAAGCAGCACGACCACACGCUUUGCUGUCUUUGUGGGAACUGAUAACACGGAAGGACUGAAUGAUGUGAUGAGGUUAAUCACUGAUCAUGAUGCACAUCUGUUAUUAUGCGGUGGUCUGUGGACUGCAGAGCAAGCAGCAGAGGUUGUCCCCCAUGCAAUCACUCACAGUUAAUGGUGACUGAAAUUGGAACCAUGUUGUUAGGGGGCUGGUGUUAUUUAACCUCAGUUGCCACGGGGCAAUGAAAAUUCGUGCGUUUGGGAACUAUGCAAGGCAGACAGUUCUAAGGUGCACGCUGUAGGUUGCUUGGACAACCCUGGCAAGAUCUUCCCCCAGACAUCCACCUUGGCAGCCGACUUAUUAACUCACAGCCACUCUGAAAUCUCCGGGUCCCAUACUCCCAUCGCAGCUGUGUGACAUGGUCGCCGUGGCCUUUGUGUGACCAUCAAAGCUCAGAGGACGGGUGUCAGAGGCUUAGAUGAAAAUCCUGAAGACAAUUGUCUGGCACUUUUCAAAGAAAUACGGCCUCACCAAAACCCUCCUGGAAGCUCUUGAUGGCUCAAGGUUCAACAGUGUCUGGGAAGACAUGGAUAUAAAAGAUCCAGAAUCAAAGAGUGAUUCCAAAGAGUUAGAGGCUGACUGUGAGGUGUUAGACAUACUGUAACCCAGUGAUUUACCUGUCUUUGCUUUUCUGCACAUGCAGAAGAGUGAUAUAUGAUGAAUAAAUUCUAAGUUCAAUUAGGCCUAAAAGAGCUCUUGUAAUAUGCUUUAAAAAGUCUAAGUGAUAAAACAUUGUGACAGAUAGAGUUCUGUCAGUGUUUAUAUUUUCUUAGUCCUUCAUUAAAUAACAGUGUCUCUUACACCAAGGCAGUUUUGGAUUCCAUAAAAUAUGGUAGUAGUUAUGUUUUAUGUUUCAAUAGUCAUCAAUCUGUUUUUAAUGUAUUCAUGGAAAAAUAUGUGGGCCAUCUUGCUAUUUAACAAUUUUUGAAAUCUCAUGGAAGCCUGCCAAUGUUUUUGCAAUUUAGCUAAGAAGCUGUCUUGCUUUUUGAGAGGGGAAGUUCCAAUAUUGUAAGCCUAGGUUUCUGAAUAUAUUUUUGUUUUUUAAUAAAUGUAGAAAGAAUGUUUUUUGUUAAUCCUGGCAUUUGUCUAGAGCAAAAGCAAAAUAAAUGAAAAGUGAGGAAAAUUAAAAGGCUUGCGUUAUAACAUGUGCUGUAUAGAGAAUGAAAACUCAUUUGUGCAAAGUUGGUAUGGCUUUUAUGAAAAUAUUUCAGUCCGAGCACCUUGCCUGUUUGCUGCAGUGCUGACUGACUCAUGAUUAGGGAUCUGUGUUGCCUUUAUUGCUCUCGG